UACAGGAAAGAAGCACUGCACUACAAGAAUACGAGCAAGAGGAGAGCAUUGGGACAGUGAAUACUGCAUCAAUCACGAACAACACCGUUUUGUUCAGCAAUUCACCAGUGCUUCAGCAGAGUGGCCUACCUCCUCUAGUCAGUGCAUUGAAAGCCUCAGCUGAAGAAAAUGCUGCCAGCUUUCACUUUCCAGGACACAACAGAGGCCAUGCCGCUCCUUCUUCGUUGACUCAACUCAUUGGAGUAAGACCAUAUGCUCAUGAUUUGUCUAGCAUUCCAGAGCUUGACAACCUCUUUUGUCCCCAAGGGCCCAUAUUAGAAGCACAAAGAGAAGCAUCCAAACUGUUCGGAUCAUCAGAGACAUGGUUUCUUGUCAACGGUACUACUUGUGGAGUCCAGGCAGCAAUAAUGGCAACCUGUUCACCGGGAGAAUAUCUGAUUCUUCCUAGGAAUUCUCAUUUAUCAGCUAUAUCUGCCAUGGUUUUAUCUGGUGCAUCGCCUAAGUACAUUAUUCCUGACUAUAAAAAUGAUUGGGACAUCGCUGGUGGCGUCACUCCAUUACAGGUGAUUCAGAUAUCAUACACUAACAUAUUGUGGCUAAAUUUGCAAUUUUCUUUUUUUUAAUGGCAACAAAUUUGCGAAAAAUUGAUGGUAAAGGAAAUUGGUAUGCUGGCGUAGCAGUUGAUACGUUAUAUAAUUGUAAAAAAUUCAUCCAUAAAGCAAUCUAAAUAGAUUUUCUAAUUCUGACACGGAAGAUGAGUUUCUUAUGAUUUCCUGAUUAAGUGAUUUUUUACUGUCCUCAAAAUUGGUAUUAGAUAUUCUCUUCAGAUUCAACUCUUCUGGUAAUCCUAUUUAAUGUUGUUCUCUCUUUGUUUCUGCUGGUGGAAUCGAUGGUUGUUGUUGCAGGUAUUGAAUGCUAUCCAGGAACUAGAAUUGGAAGGAAAGAAAGCAGCAGCAGUUUUCAUCACUUCACCUACUUACCAUGGUGUUUGCAGUAACUUGAGUGAUAUUUCUGCUUUGUGUCAUUCUCGUAAAAUUCCUUUGAUUGUUGAUGAAGCUCAUGGAGCACAUCUAGGAUUACAUUCUGAACUGCCUAGCUCAGCCCUCCAGCAAGGGGCUGAUCUAACUGUACAAUCUACUCACAAGGUUCUUUCCUCUCUUACUCAAUCGUCUAUGCUGCACAUGUCGGGCGACAUUGUAGAUAAGGAAAAAAUAUCUAGGUGUCUCCAAACACUGCAAAGCACAAGUCCUAGUUACCUUCUUUUGGCAUCCCUAGAUGCUGCUAGAGCUCAACUUAGUGAAAGCCCUGCUAUUGUAUUUAAACAAGCGAUUGAAUUAGCAAAUGAAGCAAAGUUUUUGCUAAAACGAAUCCCUGGCGUCUCAGUGCUUGAGAAUUCAAGCUUUCCAAAUUUUCCCGCAUUUGAUCCAUUCCGGCUUACUGUAGGCUUUUGGGAGCUUGGUUUAUCAGGUUACCAAGCAAAUGAAAUCUUAUGCAGGGAUUUUGGAAUCGUCCGUGAGCUUGUUGGGUAUAAAUCUAUCACUUAUGUACUUAAUCUUGGAACUUGUAGAGACCAUGUCCAAAGGCUUUUAUUGGGAGCAAAGCAUCUAGCUGCAGUAUAUUCUUCCAUUCAGCAACGUAAAGACAAAGUACUUACUGAUCAUGCACCCUUUGAUGAUAUAAUCAUGAGCUUGACACCUAGAGAUGCAUUCUUUGCAAGUAAAAGAAAAGUAAUGGUGAAAGAGAGCAUUGGUAAGGUUUCGGGGGAGCUUAUAUGUCCAUACCCUCCAGGCAUACCGGUAUUGAUCCCAGGCGAGGUUAUUACUGAGAAAGCAGUCGAUUAUCUACUCCAUGUAAGAAGUGAAGGUGCUGAUAUUAGUGGAGCAUCUGAUCCCUUACUUUCCUCGAUAGUUGUCUGCAAUGUAUAGUAAACAGCUGGUGACAGUUAUUACUAAUUAGAUAUAACAGUUAGCUAAAUCAGUUAGUUAUAGUAUAAUUAUACUAAUUACUUGUUCUUGUUUUUGGCUAUAGAAACCUUAUGUACUCCUUGAUGUAGUUUAUAUUAUCAAUAUAAUUUUUCAAUUUACUUUUCUCUUAUCAAUUAUAAAAAACACGUUGUAGCUAUAUAACACGAACACUUAAGAUUGAAUGCAAACAACCAUAUCCUACACGUGUCUAGUCAUUCAAUACUUCUAUUUUUUCAAAUCAUGACAAUUGAGUCAAACGUUUUCAGAUGGAACUAGAUACGGCCAAUUACAAACAGGUAACACAUCUAUUCAAGAAUAUUAUUCUGGUUUUUUGAAUUUAUGGACAUACCACUUUGGUAUUAUACAUGUUCUUGUUCCCAAGACUUUUUUUUGCGGCUGCCCAAAAGGUCUACAAUACUAGUAGGCGGGACCAAUUUCUCAUGAAGUUUCACCAUGAAUUUGAGGUUGUUAGAGUUGCUUUGUUGAAUAUGAACUAUGUUCCUUCUUUGGAUAUUUGUGUUGGCGAACUUUCUAAGGAGCAACAAUGCCUCCUUACUCCAAGAAUAUAUCACAUGAUGUUGCCAUUUAUGAGUUUGUGACAGUUGCAUACGGCGCUUAGAGUAGAGGUAAAAGUUGUGUCAUAUGCGACAUGUCCAAUGCGACAUGUGAUAUGCUGGUUGUCUUGUGAAAGAGAAAAUGCACGGGAAGGUGAUCAUGAAAGGGCCUAAAGUGGGGCGAUUGUUACAGAUCCAGUUUAUUUUCGGUCAUUUAUCUCUCGCGUGUAAAAAUGUUUUGAAUUCUUGUGAGAAUUGGCAAAUAAAAUUGGGUCAUAUAAACUUUGUUGUUUUAAAUAAAAAUGUUGUUUCUAAUGCCUCUAUUUCAUGCUCUAUUUGCAAAUUGGCUAAAAGUAAAACAAUUCCUUUUCCGUUUGGUGUCUAUCGUGCUUCCACUUGUUUUGAGAUGACCCAUAUUGAUGUGUGGGAUAUCUCUUGUAGUUUCUCAUGCUCACUAUAAUAUUGUCACUUUUAUUGAUGAAUACAUUCGUUUUACUUGAAUAUAUUUUCUUCGGUCUAAAUAUGAAUUGUUUUCUAUGCUUAAGAAAUUUCUAACAUAUGUUGAAACUAAAUUUCAAGCAAGUGUUAAGUUUUUGUGUUAACUCUAGUGGUGAGUACAUGCCUCAUGAGUUUAAGGAGUAUCUUCAACAAAAUGGUAUCCUAUCCAAACAAUCUUGUCCCAAUACUCCCCAACCAAAUGGGAUGGCAGAACUCAAGAAUCACAUUUGCUUGAUGCAACGUGCACCUAGCUUACUUCUUCAAGCUUCUCUACCAUCCCAAUUUUGGGUGGAGGUUUUUUUCACAAUUAUUGAUCAAUCGCCUUCCAUCUACAAUUAUUGAUCUUGAUUGUCCUUUCUUCCAUCUUUUAAAACUCACUUAUUAAUUAAUUAGAGUGGUUUGCAUAAUUGAGUCACAUGGGACCCACAAAAUUUAUAUAGGACCCACAUGAUUUGGUGGGACCAAAAUGAAUUUUAACCAAUGAAAGAGAGUGUAUUAAAAAGUGUGUGUUGCUUGCUAGCAUUCCAUAUUUCAAUUCUAGUUUAUAAUAAUACAUUUAAAUUUGUACCAAAAAAAGAAAAUACAUUUAAAUAUAUGAAAUAUUAAUGUAUACUAAUAAGCUUAAAUAAUUUUACUAAAAAGGUUUACAAAUUUACAAUUUUUUUGAACAGGUACAAAUUUACAAUUAAAUAUAAUAUAAUAAUAAAUAAUUUUAUUUAUAUUUACUUAAAUAGGUCGGCCUAAUAGAUUCAAGAGGUUUUUUUUAAUGACAUGUGGCCUGACCUUUUAAGCUAAAUAAGAUUCUAAAAAAGUCUAAACUUUUUCUUUUUAAGAAAAAAGUCUAACCUAACCUAUUUCGAUCCGAGAUUCACCAACACGCCACUUGUGUAUUACCAAUCAUGAAAUGCACGUUUAUUCGACUUAUCACACUUGUUUGGAAUAGGCAAUAAAAAAAAAUGAAGAAACUUGAUGCACACGUAUCAUAAUUUAAUUUGCAAUAGGCAAUAAAAAAAGAAAGAAUAGUAUCAUCAUCCCCCUCUUAAAGUCUCAGCUUCUGUCGGUUUUGGUCAAGGAAGGUUAGUGAGAAGCAAGCUCACAACCAGAGAUGAGGUGGUGGAAGAAAAUGGUGUAUGCUUCACUCUCGCCAGCUUUAACUCCCAAAAGGCCAAAACGGUUUUCACCUUCCCAUUUUCCAGUAAGUGCCAACCAGUACUUCUCUUUCUUCUGCUGUUUCUAACUUUUAUGCAAGAAUUUCCCUAGCAAAUUGAAUUUCAGGCCUUCGCCCACUACAACAUCUAGUUUCUUAAAAAAAAUAAUAAUAUUUACAUCUAGUAACAAAAGAAAUAGGCUUCCAUAUUGAUAUAUGAAUAAAAAUACAUACACUUGAAAAGAUUAAUAGACAACGUAUAAUAUACAAGUAAAGAUAAAAGCGGCUAAAUUGUAUUUUUGGUCCCUUACAAACUUCGAUAACAAGAGUCCCAGAAAAAUUUCAGAAGAAAAUGAAGAAAACCUAACGUUUUUAAAUUAAAACUAACGGAAAUGACCAAAAUGUGUAACGGAAAGAAGUUAAGGGACCAAAAUAAAUCGAAUUUUAAUUAAGGGACCAAAACAAUACUCCCUAAAUAGUUAAGGGACAAAAAAUACAAUUUAGCCCACAUUUUAAUGUAUAAGUAAAAUAUAUAGAUGCAUAUAUAAAUUAAAAAAAAUAAGAACCCGUAUUUUUUUUUUAUGGUGACCGGGAUUUGAACUCCGAACCUUGCAUAUUUUAUGCAUCGUCCAUAUCAAUUGGCUAAGCUCACGAGGACUAUUAAUAUAUAAUUAAAAAUACAUAUACAUGUAUAAAUAAAAAAAAUAGAGUUAAAUAUAUUUUUAAUCCAUAUAAAUAUACCAACUUUUUAUUUUAUUCCCUCUAAUUUUUUUAUUAGACUUUUAGUCUCCCAAAAUUUUUUCAUCACCACUUUUAGUCCAUACUUUUUAGUCAACUCAUGUCUAACCUUCAUAUAUUUUAAUGAAAUUUUUCAUAAAUGGGUAGAAUAUUAUGACAAUCUCCCUCAUAUAUAUAUAUAUUUUUCAACAAAACUUGAAUUUUUUAUGUUUUUGGUGCUUAAAAAUUCAUAUUUAAUUCAUGUUUUGUUAAAAAAAAUUCUAAUUUUUUUGGGAGUGAUUGUCAUAAUAUUUUACAUAGUUCUGGAAAAUUUCAUUAAAAAAUAUGAAGGUUAGACAUGAGUUGACUAAAAAGUAGGGACCAAAAAUAAUAGUUCUAACAAAUUUUUUCAGAAGGACUAAAACGAAAAAUAUGUAUAUUUAUAAGAAAAAAAUAAGACACUCGUUAAUAUUUCCCUUAAAAUAACAACUUUAAAUAAGGAAUUUUUUUUUUCUGACCCCUUUGUCAAAAAAAAUUCCAUGUCUAACCCCCUAUGAAUAUUAUUCACCAAACUGACCCACUUUUUUUUUUUUUUUUUUUGUCCUUUUUCCAUUCCCGCCAUUUGAAAGCUCUGACACAUGUCAAAUCCUGACUGACCGACUGUUUUUUAUUUUUUUUCAUUACCGCCAUUUCAAAUGGCGGGACUGAAUUUUAAUUUUUUUUUUUCGUUUUUUGUUUUUUUGGGCAACAUAUAUAUACAUUAAAAACAUAAAUAAUAAUAAAUAAAAACAUAGUAAUGAUAAUGAUUACCGUACCAUUGAGUUAUCGGUUACGAUUGAAAACCGGGAGAUUCCACAACAUCAUCAAACACCGCAACCGCGUCAAAAAUCUCAAUUGUUUUCACAAACACAAUAUGCGUUUGAACCCCCAUCUUCAUCACAACAAUUACCGUACACCCAACUGUUCUCACAAACACAGUAUGAGUUUGAACCCCCAUCUUCAUCACAACAAUUACGGUACACCCAAUCGUUCUCACAAACACAACAAUUACCGUACACCCAACCGUUCUCACAAACACAAUAUAAAUUUGAACCCCAUCUUCAUCACAACAAUUACCGUACACCCAACCGUUCUCACAAACACAAUAUGAAUUUGAACCCUUAUCUUCACAACCACAACCACCACCGCAAACGCAACCACAAACACAAACCCGCCUAGAAGAUCUUUUCACUCGUCAGUUUGAAGAGAUCCCAGACAACAUUCAAGAACAAGAAGAAGAAGCUAGUAGUGAAAGUGACGAAGACGAGGCACUUCAGCAUGAUGCAGAUGAAGAAGACGAACACGAAAAUAGAUAUGAAGAAGAAGAUAUUUGGAGGAACAUUAUGUUUGGCACACAACCACAACCACCGCUACAGACAGUGCCGAUCAGAGCCUCUUACUGUCCCCCGCUGCAUAUGCGUAACGUUGACGUUGAUGCAUAUGAUGCUCUGCCUACCGACGAUCACUGGAAUACGAAUGUUCAUGUCGAUGGGGCUAUUGAGCAAGGAAUGACAUUUCACAGCAAAGAAGAUUGUUUGCAUGCAAUCAAGUCUUUCCACAUCCGACAAUCGCUGGAUUACGAUGUUAUACACUCAGAUCCAAGAAGAUAUGUCAUUCAAUGUACCCUCGAGACUUGUCUAUUUAAGUUGAGAGCUUCCUUUAGAAAAAGGAGUGGCAAAUGGAAGAUUGGAACCAUGAUGGGUCCACACAAUUGCACAUCGACUUUAAUGUCACAGGAUCAUCGCAAGCUCAACUACAAACUUAUAAGUCAAAGCAUCAAAACACUUUUGCAUGCAGAUGCCUCGGUAACGCCAAAAUUGAUCAUUGUGCACAUUAAAGAAAAGUUUAACUACACAACCACAUAUCGAAAGGCGUGGUUAGCAAAGAACGCUGUCAUCGAAUCUAUUUACGGGAAAUGGGAGGAAUCAUAUAAUGAUCUUCCGCAAUGGUUGAAUGUGAUGAAGGAGACAAUGCCAGGGACCGUCUUUGAUUUAAAAACGCAAAUUGGCGAGAAUGGAGAGACACAAUUUCAUCGUCUAUUUUGGGCCUUCUAUCCAUGCAUCCAUGUGUUUAAGUAUUGCAAACCAGUUGUCCAUGUCGACGGGACGUGGUUGUAUGGCAAGUACAAAGGGACAUUGUUGCUUGCGGUAGCACAAGAUGGAAACAACAAAACGAUUCCAAUCGCCUUUGCGCUUGUCGAAGGUGAGACAAAGGAGGGCUGGAGUUUUUUUUUUUGAAAAAUCUAAGAAGGCACGUCACAAAAGGAAUAUCUGUCUGCAUGGUCUCCGGCAUACAUGAAUCAAUUAAAAGCGCAUUCAAUGACCCAAGGAAUGGUUGGCAAGAAACUGAUUCAGCUCAUGUGUACUGCAUUCGACACAUUAAGCAGAAUUUCAUGAGGACAAUCAUGGAUGGAGAUCUUAAUGAUGUUGUAAAUAAUAUGGGUAAGGAUAUUAUGUUACAGUUUUUUUUUAUUUUAUUUUAUAUUGUGUUAUUAUUAAAUAGGUUCACUAUCUAACUAAUUGUUUUUUCUUAACGUGCAGGACAUGCCCUAAACGUAUCCUUGUUCGAUUACUAUCGUGGUGUAAUCCAGAAGGCAAAUCAGCGUGCAUUAGAUUGAGUGGACAAUAUUUCGAAAGAAAAAUGGACUCAAGCAUAUGAUGAGGGUCGACCAUGGGGCCACAUGACAAGCAACAUCGUUGAGUCGUGGAACUCUGUGUUUAAGGGAACACGCAACCUACCUGUUACACCUAUAGUUCAAUCAACCUACUAUAGGCUGGCAUGUCUCUUUGCUGAUAGAGCUCAAAAAGCGUUUGCAAGGGUAGGUUCCGGAGAUUUGUUCAGUGAAUAUUGCCAAAAUGCGAUUAAGGAUGACAUUGCUAAGUCCAACACCCAUCAUGUCGAACAGUUUGACCGAGAAAAGUAUACCUUCUCAGUCCGUGAGACCGUCAACUACAGGGAGGGAAGGCCAAUGGGAACUUUCAAGGUGGACCUACGAGCAGGGUGGUGUGAUUGUGGGAAAUUUCAAGCUUUACAUUUGCCUUGUUCCCAUGGCAUAGCCACGUGUUCUUCAUUUCGCCAUGACUACACAACCAUUAUUCCAGCUGUGUUAAAAAACGAGAGUGUUUACUCCAUCUACAACACAACCUUCAAAGUAGUCCAGGACAAGAGUUAUUGGCUCCCAUAUGACGGUCCCGUGCUUUGCCAUAAUCCAAACAUGCGAACACUAAAGAAAGGUCGACCCAAUAGUACCUGCAUAAGGACUGAAAUGGACGAGGAGGUGGUAGAGAGGACUCCAACACCGAGACAGUGUGGGUUGUGUCGGCAUAUCGGUCAUAUUAGGAGAAAUUGUCCGAGUAUAAAUAACCGGUAGUUAAUAACAUUAUGUAUUAUGUGUUCAAAUAAAUUAAUAUGUUUUUAUUUAUCAUUAUUAUUUGUGUUUUAAAUAAACAAAUGUUGCCAAAAAAACAAAAAACGAAAAAAAAUAAAUUAAAAUUCAGUCCCGCCGUUUGAAAUGGCGGUAAUGGAAAAAAAAAAAAACAAUCGGCCAGUCAUGAUUUGACAUGUGUCAAAGCGGCGGCUCAUUCCUGCUGUUUCAAAUGGCGGGAAUGGGGAAAAGGAUAAAAAAAAAGUGGGUCAUUUUGGUGAAUAAUAUUCAUAGGGGGUCAAACAUGGAUUUUUUUUGACAAGAGGGUCAGAAAAAAAAAUUCUUAAAUAAGACACUUGAGUCUCUAUCAAAUCUAAGAUGAUAUCAAAGCCUCUUUCAAGAUCUGUUGACCCAACAACUAUCAGAUCUUUGUCAUUGGGUCAUCCACCAUUUAUAUCCGCACACCAAACUAAGUAGUGAUGGGCGUGAGGGGGUGUGUUAAGAGUCCUACGUUAGAUAAAGAGAUGACGUGAGCAAUUGUUUACAAGUGAGGGAAAUGCUCACCUUAUAAACCGGUUUUGCAAGGAUGAUGUAAGUCCAAUAUAAAAUCUAAGAUUCUCUCUUUUGCUACAAAGUUUAUUUCGAUGCAGGCUUUUCAUUUCCCAAACACACCGUCUCAUUCAACAUCGCUAUUCUUAUAGUUGUAUGAUAAAAUCUUCCUUUAACUUGAGUGUGACAUUUGUAUUACAUAAAACACAUAUGCGACCCUCCUCGAUUUCAAUCACUAGCUUGAAUCUCAUGGUUUGCAUCUCCCUCGACUUCUCUGUCAUUUUAAAUGUUAAUGGACCCAAGAUAUUUAAGUUGUGUGACUUGUGGUAUAGUAUGAUCUCCAAUUUUUGCCUCUAAGCUAGAGGUGCUUUUCCUUUUUUUCUAACCUUACAUUCCAUAUAAUAUGUAUCACUUCUACUCGAACGAAAGUCAUAUGUUUCUUGCCGUGUGCUUGGUAGCAUGAUAGCAUUCCUCCGCUGCAUGUUUAAAUGUCAUUUCAUCUUAACUUUUACGAAGCUUUAGAUUUGAGCAUCAAAUGAGCAGAACUACUAUGAUUUUGCAUACUACCGAACACAUGCUAAAGCUAAUCUCGAACUAACCUCCAAUUUAUUUCCUCUCGAAUCAUUUUCAAAAAGCAUGCAUCACAGUGUUGGCUCUUGAGGUGCUCCACAAGUACAUUCAACACUAAUCUAAAAAAUAUACGUAAAACUGAUGCUUGGUGCAGUCCUACAAGAUUAGACAUUUAUAUAAAAUUUGUUUACAUUACAGUGUAUGUAGUUAUAAUUUUAAACGGAGUUUGGUUGGGGUAAUAAGAUUAUCUUACAGGAAAGAAGCACUGCACUACAAGAAUACGAGCAAGAGAAGAGCAUUGGGACAGUGAAUACUGCAUCAAUCACGAACAACACCGUUUUGUUCAGCAAUUCACCAGUGCUUCAGCAGAGUGGCCUACCUCCUCUAGUCAGUGCAUUGAAAGCCUCAGCUGAAGAAAAUGCUGCCAGCUUUCACUUUCCAGGACACAACAGAGGCCAUGCCGCUCCUUCUUCGUUGACUCAACUCAUUGGAGUAAGACCAUAUGCUCAUGAUUUGUCUAGCAUUCCAG
rnacentral:lncRNA from 1 species